rnacentral:pre_miRNA from 1 species
UGAGGUUUGAGCUCGUGGCUACCCAUUUCUCUUGGUAGUCAGCAGCCAAACCUCAGU